AUUGAACGCUGGCGGCAGGCUUAACACAUGCAAGUCGAGCGGGGUGAGGUGCUUCGGUACUGAUCCUAGCGGCGGACGGGUGAGUAAUGCUUAGGAAUCUGCCAUUUAGUGGGGGACAACAUUCCGAAAGGGAUGCUAAUACCGCAUACGUCCUACGGGAGAAAGCAGGGGAUUUUCGGACCUUGCGCUAAAUGAUGAGCCUAGGUCGGAUUAGCUAGUUGGUGGGGUGAAGGCCUACCAAGGCGACGAUCUGUAGCGGGUCUGAGAGGAUGAUCCGCCACACUGGGACUGAGACAGGGCCCAGACUCCUACGGGAGGCAGCAGUGGGGAAUAUUGGACAAUGGGCGGAAGCCUGAUCCGGCCAUGCCGCGUGUGUGAAGAAGGCCUUUUGGUUGUAAAGCACUUUAAGCGAGGAGGAGGCUACCUGGAUUAAUACUCUGGGAUAGUGGACGUUACUCGCAGAAUAAGCACCGGCUAACUCUGUGCCAGCCGCCGCCGUAAUAC
rnacentral:rRNA from 1 species